ACAGAGGGUGCUAGCGUUGUUCGGAAUCAUUGGGCGUAAAGGGCGUGUAGGCGGUUUGUUAAGUCAUGUGUGAAAUCCCUCGGCUCAACCGAGGAAAGACGCAUGAAACUGGCAAGCUAGAGUACCGAAGAGGGGGGUGGAAUUCCCGGUGUAGCGGUGAAAUGCGUAGAUAUCGGGAGGAACAUCAGUGGCGAAGGCGACCGCCUGGCCUAACACUGACGCUGAGGUGCGAAAGCGUGGGUAGCAAACAGGA
rnacentral:rRNA from 1 species